rnacentral:sRNA from 1 species
GUUUUACUCUGUUUCU